rnacentral:tRNA from 1 species
UGUCAAGGGAUGGGAAUCGAACCCACGUCCUUCCGCUUACCGGGCAGAUGCCAUGACCACUAGCAUAUGUAGCCUAGUGGU